GAUGAACGCUGGCGGCGUGCCUAACACAUGCAAGUCGAGCGAACAGGCGAGGAGCUUGCUGCGCUGACGUUAGCGGCGGACGGGUGAAUCACACGUGGAUAACCUACUUAUAUUACUGGUAUAACUUCGGGACACCGGAGCUAAUCCCGUAUAAGCUCUUGCACCACAUGGGUCGAUAGUGAGUGACGGUGUUGCGGUCACGUCUCGAUGGUUCCCAGCUGCAUGAGCUAGUUGGUAAGUUAACGGCUUACCAAGGCAACGAUGCAUAGCCGACCGGAGAGGGGGAUCGGCCACAAUGGAAAUGAGACACGGUCCAGACUCCUACGGGAGGCAGCAGUAGGGAAUCUGCCGCAAUGGGCGAAAGCCUGACGGAGCAACGCCGCGUGAGUGAUGAAGGUCUUCGGAUCGUAAAACUCUGUUAUUAGGGAAGAACAUAUGUGUAAGUAACUGUGCACAUCUUGACGGUACCUAAUCAGAAAGCCACGGCUAACUACGUG
rnacentral:rRNA from 1 species